GGCACUUUAGCUCAGUUGGUUAGAGCGUUCGCUUAACAUUCUUUUCGGAUCUAAAAGAUCCCAUUGCGCGAAAGGUCCCCGGUUCGAGCCCGGGAGGAGUCA